CAGGGGCCCUCCACAGUGGGGCUCUCUAAGAGCCUCUGCUGAAUUUAUUUGGCUGACACAGAAAAACAACUUCCUGAACUGCCUGAUGAUAACCCUUCAGCACAGCUAAAUGAUGUCUC
rfam:Tupaia belangeri cont1.617415, whole genome shotgun sequence.